AAAUUAUACUUUGAAUAAAUACAUUUGUUUGUGUAACCAAACGUCGCCUUACAAAAACACUUGUUGUUGACGAAAGAAUUCGCGUCUGUUGUCACCGAUAAUGUUAGUUGGACAACUCUUGAUUUACAUUCGUUAAAAAAUAUAAAGUUUGAAUCACCAUUUUGCUAUACUUCUAUCAUAUUUUUGUAAAUCGGAUAUUAUAUUAUUUCAUUUUCAAACUAAUAAGCGUGCUAUUGUUGAAUUGCCAUGUAUAACGUACUAUUUUUAAUGGUGAUACUGCUACAACUCGUCAAAUGUACAUUCCCCACUUAUCAAGUAGUACACAAAGAAGCAAAGAAAAACUUCAUUGAGUGUUUAGAGGAAUUAAAUUUUAUAGAAGGGAUAUUUGCAAACCAUUUUAAAGUUGUGCCAUGGUGUAAUCAAAAUCCUGUAUACGCAAAACUCAAUAGUUUGGGAAGCCAUUUAAUGAGUAAAGGCAAUAGAAAUCAAGCUACUGGAAAAGUAUUCAGUUUGGUCGAUGUUGUUUGUAACAAAUUAAACAUUAAGCUCGUUGGUAGUAAAAAACAUUGUAAAAAUUUAACGAAAGUUUGCGUAGACCGAUUUUGUACAUCUAUCUUGGCAUUUUAUAAACAAAAGACAAGGUACCAACUUACCUGAUCACUAUUCCUAAAUUAUAUAUACCACUAUUCCUGGACAAUUUCUGUUUUGAUAAAUUUAUUAUUAUUAUGAUUCUCUUUAUUGUUAUUAUUAAUUACUAUUUCUUUGAUACUAUUUUUAAAUUUUUUUUAUUUGAUUGCUGAAAUCAAUUCAAGAUGUGUAAGAGCUGUUGGGGAAUUUUAUUUAAAAGUUAAAAGUAAAAAAAUACAACAAAUAUAAAUGUUUACUAAAUACUAAAUGUGUCGUACAAAAAAUGACUAUAUAAGGGAUCGUAUUGUAAUGAUCAAAUUUUGAUGCAUUGCAUAUUAUACGAGCCCCCCAGUCUAGUUUUAAGACCUUAAACUAAUGAUAAAAUCAUAACAGUUGUAGACUGUUUAUAAACAGUUAAUUUCCAUU